AGGGUUUAAGAGGUUCAAAAAAAGAUGGUCAAAUCCAGUGAGUGGUUCAGAGAGAUUCAAACUUAGGUCUGAAAGAAGGUCUGAUUGAUUGGUGGUUAGUCAAGUUCUAGGGGUUAGAACUCUUGAUGCAAGGUGAAGAAGGAGCGCUGUCUUUGGUUCAAUUUCCGUAUGGAUCACCGUUGAAGAGUGGACACUUAGACACC
rnacentral:lncRNA from 1 species